AAGUCGUAACAAGGUUUCCGUAGGUGAACCUGCGGAAGGAUCAUUAAAAAAUUAAUGAAUUGUCGGGGGCGCGCGCGAACGCGCGGAGGGUUGCUUUUUUUUUUCCCUCUGACCGUCCGCCGUCUUUCCCGUGUAUUCAAACCAACCCGCUCUUGUAUUUGUAUCAACCAAAAAAAUAAAUAAAUUAAAAAAAUAACAAUGUAAAAAAACUUUCAACAACGGAUCUCUUGGCUCUC
rnacentral:misc_RNA from 1 species